UACCAGCACCCCGAGUGGUCGGGACGUUUACUGGGCCUAAAGCAUCCGUAGCCGGUUCUACAAGUCUUCCGUUAAAUCCACCUGCUUAACAGAUGGGCUGCGGAGGAUACUAUAGAGCUAGGAGGCGGGAGAGGCAAGCGGUACUUAGUGGGUAGGGGUAAAAUCCGUUGAUCCAUUGAAGACCACCAGUGGCGAAGGCGGCUUGCCAGAACGCACUCGACGGUGAGGGAUGAAAGCUGGGGGAGCAAACCGG
rnacentral:rRNA from 1 species